rnacentral:rRNA from 1 species
AUACGGAGGAUGCGAGCGUUAUCCGGAUUUAUUGGGUUUAAAGGGAGCGUAGGUGGGAUAUUAAGUCAGCUGUGAAAGUUUGGGGCUCAACCUUAAAAUUGCAGUUGAUACUGGUUUCCUUGAGUACGGUACAGGUGGGCGGAAUUCGUGGGGUAGCGGUGAAAUGCUUAGAUAUCACGAAGAACUCCGAUCGCGAAGGCAGCUCACCGGGCCGGAACUGACACUGAUGCUCGAAAGUGCGGGUAUCAAACAGGAUUAGAUACCCUGGUAGUCCGCACAGUAAACGAUGAAUACUCGCUGUUUGCGAUACACUGUAAGCGGCCAAGCGAAAGCGUUAAGGAUUCCACCUGGGGAGUACGCUGGCAACGGUGAAACUCAAAUGAAUUGACGGGG